rnacentral:rRNA from 1 species
CCUACGGGGCGCAGCAGUGGGGAAUAUUGCACAAUGGGGGAAACCCUGAUGCAGCGACGCCGCGUGGACGAUGAAGGAUUUCGGUACGUAAAGGCCUGUCCGCAGGGAAGAAAACGACAGUACCUGACCAAGAAGCCCCGGCUAACUACGUGCCAGCAGCCGCGGUAAUACGGAGGGGGCGAGCGUUAUCCGGAUUCACUGGGCGGAAAGGGAGCGCAGGCGGCACGGCAAGUCCGGGGUGAAAGCCCGGGGCCCAACCCCGGGACUGCACGGGAAACUGGCGGGCGGGAGGGCCGGAGGGGGAG